AUUCACAUGCUUUAGUGAAUAUGGCGGUUGCUACUUGUGUUCGUGCGAGGUGACACUUGGAUGUUUACGGUGCAAUAAUACAAAUAAAGGAAAGGAACUUCGACUUUAUUAUAUUUUGUUAUAAAUGGCCUUGACAAGGAAGGAAGCUUACAAUAUACUUGAGUUGCCAAUUGGUGCUUGUGAAAAACAUUUAACAAAGAUGAAACCAGUUCAAAGUAGAAAUGAAUUAACAGCAGAUGAAGAGAAAGAAAAGCGGCAAGCUGAGAAAAGAAGAGCUAAGAAAAAAAGACAAAGAGAAAAGAAAAAAUUAGAAAAACUCGAAAAGCAUCCAAAAGAGAAUGGAAACACUUCCCAAAAUAAGGCUAAAGAUUUCAGUGAUUCCAGAAAGGAGCAGAAAUUAAAGAACAGUAAUAAACUAUUAGUUUCAGAUACCACAGAUGAUGAAGCAGAUUUUGACCCUAGUUCAGCAUUUUUUACCAAUAUUGUAAAUAAGAAAAAAAUGAAUCUCAAUAUUAGUGAACAAUCUCAACUAUCCAAUAAAGACCGCAGUAAAGACAGAUCAAUCUUACAAUCUCACAGUGCCAAGAGUGAAGAUGAUAUAGAAGAACUUGAUACAGUUGUUCUCAGAAGCCGCAAGUUAGCAAUUCGAGGUAAUGAAAUGGCACAAAUGGGUCAUUAUGCCGCUGCUAUAGAUCUUUUCACAGAAGCAAUACGACUUGAUCCAAGUGAUUUUCGAUUCUUUGGGAAUCGUUCUUAUUGCUAUGAAAGAAUACAGCAAUAUGACAAAGCCUUAAAAGAUGCUGAAAAGUCCAUAUCAAUAUCUUCAAACUGGCCAAAGGGAUUCUUUAGAAAGGGUCGAGCUUUGGCUGGACAAAAACAAUAUUCUAAAGCUGAAGAAGCAUUUCUACAAGUGAUACGAUUAGAUAAAAAUUGUGAAGAUGCAAGGCAGGAGUUACUGAAAGUACAAAUGCAUCAGCUUGCUGAAAUGGGUUUUACAAAAUUGCAGGCUGAAGCUGCCAUCACACAGUAUGGAACAGUGCAGACAGCUUUGGAUUCUCUAUUAGCUGGAAUUGUGGCUGACAAUCUCAAUAAUGGUUUGGGUUCAGAAAAAGAAUUUUCUAUCAACAAUAUGAAUCACAUUACAAUAAACAGCUCAUGCUCAUCACCCAUGGAUACCAAAAUGGACCCAGCAAAUCCCGAAGGAUUGACAGCAUUGUGGGUAGGAAAUGUUUUACCUGAAGUGUCAGAAAAAAAAUUAAACCAGUUGUUUUCAAGGUAUGGGCCUCUAAGCAGUGUACGUUGUUUACCUGACAGGUUUUGUGCUUUUAUAAAUUUUAAAACUAAAGAAUCAGCUGGUAAAGCUAUGAAUUCUUUACAGGGAGUGGAGUGUGGUGGCCAAAAACUGUUGAUAAAAUUUCCUGAUAAUCCAAUAAUUAAUGUAGGAAAUGUUACAAUACUAAAAGCUUCUACUUCUAACAAUAGCAAAAGCAGGUCAUGUGACCACAUCUUAGGUGUAGUAAUAUUAAUAAAAUCCAUACAAGUGGUGCUACAGUACAACUCUCUAACAUAAUACUACAACUGCUAAAAAAUGAAAGUGAGUGAUGAGACUGCAACAGCUAAGGUAACAUGCAACAUACUUGCUCCAAUUGCUGCUCAAAGUUUUCAAGAAGAAUACUGCUCUCAGAACUGAUGGAUUCAUCUAAAAGAAAAAUAUAAUGAAAAAUGCUCAUGUUGUUGAUGAGAUUCCGUUACAAUUUACCAAAACAGUCUGGUCCAGUGAAUGGUAACGAAUGCUACUUCUGGAGAACAACAGGCUGCCAAUUUGGUGACAAGUGCCACUACCACCAUUUUCCUGAUCACAAAGGUAUCGAUUUGAA